rnacentral:rRNA from 1 species
CCUACGGGUGGCAGCAGUGAGGAAUAUUGGUCAAUGGGCGCGAGCCUGAACCAGCCAAGUCGCGUGAGGGAAGACGGUCCUAUGGAUUGUAAACCUCUUUUGUCGGGGAGCAAAAGACGCCACGCGUGGCGUUCCGAGAGUACCCGAAGAAAAAGCAUCGGCUAACUCCGUGCCAGCAGCCGCGGUAAUACGGAGGAUGCGAGCGUUAUCCGGAUUUAUUGGGUUAAAAGGGUGCGCAGGGGGAUGGUUAAGUCAGCGGUAAAAUUGCGCGGCUCACCCUCGACGAGCCGUUGAAACUGGUUGUCUUGAGUGAGAGAGAGGUAGGCGGAAUGCGUGGUGUAGCGGUGAAAUGCAUAGAUAUCACGAAGAACUCCGAUUGCGAAGGCAGCACACUGGCGUGCAACUGACGCUCAGGCACGAAAGUGUGGGUAUCGAACAGGAUUAGAUACCCGAGUAGUC